UAAUGUCAGCACGCAGACCAUUUCUUCUGCCCCGAAUACAUUAGCAUGGGAUAAUGGAAUAGGACCCUGUCCUCCUAUUUUGCGUGUUGGUUUUCGAGGACCGGGUAAUGAUUAAUAGGGAUAGUUGGGGGCAUUAAUAUUUAAUUGUCAGAGGUGAAAUUCUUGGAUUUAUGAAAGAUUGACUUCUGCGAAAGCAUCUGCCAAGGAUGUUUUCAUUAAUCAAGAACGAAAGUUAGGGGAUCGAAGACGAUCAGAUACCGUCGUAGUCUUAACCAUAAACGAUGCCGACCAGCGAUUAGGAGACGUUGAAUACAAAACACCACCGUCGGGUCGGCCGUCCUUGGCCGUCGUGCGCGGCGACGCGCGCGGCGGCGAGGGCGGUGUCUGCCCGACGGCCCGGUGAAUGACUCCCCUAGCGCUUUGUGAGA
rnacentral:rRNA from 1 species